GUAAACUCCUUUUAUCAGAGAAGAAGAUGACGGUAUCUGAUGAAUAAGCUCCGGCUAACUCCGUGCCAGCAGCCGCGGUAAUACGGAGGGAGCAAGCGUUAUUCGGAAUCACUGGGCGUAAAGGACGCGUAGGCGGGUUUGUAAGUCAGGUGUGAAAUCCUACAGCUCAACUGUAGAACGGCACUUGAGACUACAGACCUAGAGUAUGGAAGGGGCAGAUGGAAUUAGUGGUGUAGGGGUAAAAUCCGUAGAUAUCACUAGGAAUACCGAAAGCGAAGGCGAUCUGCUGGGACAUUACUGACGCUGAGGCGUGAAAGCGUGGGGAGCAAACAGGAUUAGAUACCCUGGUAGUCCACGCCCUAAACGAUGCACACUAGUUGUUGCGAUGCUCGUCAUUGCAGUAAUACAGUUAACACAUUAAGUGUGCCGCCUGGGGAGUACGGUCGCAAGAUUAAAACUCAAAGGAAUAGACGGGGACCCGCACAAGCGGUGGAGCAUGUGGUUUAAUUCGAAGAUACGCGAAGAACCUUACCUAGACUUGAAAUCCUUGGAAUCCUGCAGAGAUGCGGGAGUGCUAGUUUACUAGAACCAAGUGACAGGUGCUGCACGGCUGUCGUCAGCUCGUGUCGUGAGAUGUUGGGUUAAGUCCCGCAACGAGCGCAACCCUCGUGUUUAGUUGCUAACAGUUCGGCUGAGCACUCUAAACAGACUGCCUUCGUAAGGAGGAGGAAGGUGAGGACGACGUCAAGUCAUCAUGGCCCUUAUGUCUAGGGCUACACACGUGCUACAAUGGUUGGGACAAAGAGCAGCAAUACCGCGAGGUGGAGCAAAUCUUAAAACCCAAUCUCAGUUCGGAUUGGAGUCUGCAACUCGACUCCAUGAAGCUGGAAUCGCUAGUAAUCGUAGAUCAGCAAUGCUACGGUGAAUACGUUCCCGGGUCUUGUACUCACCGCCCGUC
rnacentral:rRNA from 1 species